CUCUUCCUAGGGAGUUUUAGUUCAUGUAAUCCAUGUACAAUAAAAAAAAAUUAGAAAUUGCAUAGUAUAGGUUUUGAUCCUAUGACCUCAUGGUUCAUGUACUAAAGUUUUAACCACUAGUCCAAGUUAUAUUUAGUGUUAUCAUAUCAAAGUACAAUAUUAAUAAAUGGAAAUUUUUCUUACCCGGAAAAGUCGGAACCCCUCUUUACAACCCUCACAAAUUACAUUAUUUCUCUCUCCUCACUGUAGCUUUCAGGAAAACCUCCCCUUCCCCACCGUCGGGAUGCUCUCACUCUUCAUGUUGCUGUUGCUUCUGCCCGCUUUCCCUCCUCUUGCGCUGUCGCUCUCUCUUUUUCCUUCAUCAUCUUCACCAGUUUUUGGGCUAUGAAGGGCAUAGGUGGAGGAGGGCUCGGUAAAGUAGGCUGAUUUGGUUACAAAUUAUUGUGCAGAUGUUGCUAUGAGCCAUAACAUGCAGAAUGCAAACCUAGACCUAAUGAGCCUCCACUCAUUAUCUCUUCUUCUUUAAAUAAUUAGGCCCACUUCUCAUUCUUAUAAAAAAUCCACCUCAAAUUUGCUUAAAUCAAUCCAAAACUACAACAAUCUCCCAAAAACACCUCGUAUUUUAGUAUAAAGUUCCUAAAUUGUAGAUAUGAGAUCUCACUUACUUCUAAAGCAAAACCCAAUUCAGGAAACAUGGGAAAGAAAUUUCACUUUUUUUUUGCUCCUUAGUAGUCAAAAUCAAGUGGGCAGAAGAAAACAUACCCAGAUUUUGAGGUACUUUAAGUCAAUCAAUGUCAGUUGCUGUUGAAAUUGAGUAAGAACCCAGUUGAAAAACAACAAUGAGGAGAGAGAAAUUGCACUGCAAUUGACGAAUAACAAAUUGUUAUUUAUUUUAAUGAUAUAAUUGAAAAAAAUAAAUUUUUGGUAAAUUAAAAACGUUUAGUGAUGUGAGAUGUAUGUGCGAUUUAUAUUUCUAUUAGGAUUUUUAGGGUUUAUUGAAAUUAAACUCAAAUUCGAAAAUCAUCUCUUUUGUCUCUCAUGUUGGUCAAGUUCCCUAAUUUCAGUAAUCGCGAAGAUGUAUGGAUUCGAAGGUAUCUUGCCGCUACUCAAUGGUCCUUAUAUAUCUUCAGAAUGGUACACAAAUAACCAAAUAGAAUAGGUGAGGUAUCACAAUCGUUGUAUUGCCAAUUUUUCAUGGUAGAUUUUGUUUCCAAGUGUAUUGUAUUAUUACAUUCAGAUUAGGCUAGGAAUGAGGAAAUAUGUUUUAUCUUUUGGUUUGCUACAAGUACUACUUAUGUACUUGAUUUUGUAAAUGUCGAAACGAUAUGAAUGUUAUGUAUUAUAUGAUCCUUUUGUUAA